rnacentral:rRNA from 1 species
GAUGAACGCUGGCGGCGUGCCUAAUACAUGCAAGUCGAGCGAACAGACGAGGAGCUUGCUCCUCUGACGUUAGCGGCGGACGGGUGAGUAACACGUGGAUAACCUACCUAUAAGACUGGGAUAACUUCGGGAAACCGGAGCUAAUACCGGAUAAUAUAUUGAACCGCAUGGUUCAAUAGUGAAAGACGGUUUUGCUGUCACUUAUAGAUGGAUCCGCGCCGCAUUAGCUAGUUGGUAAGGUAACGGCUUACCAAGGCAACGAUGCGUAGCCGACCUGAGAGGGUGAUCGGCCACACUGGAACUGAGACACGGUCCAGACUCCUACGGGAGGCAGCAGUAGGGAAUCUUCCGCAAUGGGCGAAAGCCUGACGGAGCAACGCCGCGUGAGUGAUGAAGGUCUUCGGAUCGUAAAACUCUGUUAUUAGGGAAGAGCAAACGUGUAAGUAACUAUGCACGUCUUGACGGUACCUAAUCAGAAAGCCACGGCUAACUACGUG